GUGAGCUUUGUGUUUUGUAGCAGUGGUAGCUGCUACUGUUGGUCAAACAGUAAGUAAAUUAAUCCUAAAUCCUAUUAUGAAAGGGUAGAUGUUCCUUAAAAUAACAUGCGGGUAGUGUAAUCCGACAAUGAUGGCACAGGACUAGGGUAAAUUUGCCAGUUGGGAUUUAUUUUUAGUAGCAAUGCACUAGAUAAAGUCAUAAGAUAAUAGAGUUGUCACAGUAAUAUCACAAUAAUUAUUAAUUAGCAUUAUCUAUGUUACUUCCCAUUUGUAUUUAUGUACAAAAAGAUUCUAACCUUUAAAUUUCACACUGCUUCUUUGUCCCCUUGCAUCAAACCAUUUAAAGAAAAAUAGCUUAAAGAUUUAUUUAAAACCCAUUAAAGCAUGGCAGCAACAAAGUAUCAUCUCAGCUUGACCUGUCUCACAAGGGAAACUGAAAACUAUUUAACUCUUUGUUAGUUUGUUUUAACUUGUUCUUCAAGCACUGCAGAAUUUCAAAUCAUUUAGCCAUGAGUAAACCCAGUAUAGUUAACACAAAACAACUUUUACACAUCCUAUUUGCUAUAUUUUUUAAUUGACAACACUGAAAAAAAAAAACAACAAUCAAGUAAAUCCAGUUUAUUCUGUAGUGCUUUGUGUGCAACAUUCACUGUUAUUGUUAAUCAUGAGAACAUGGCAAAUACAAAAUGCAACAAAGCCAUUUCAUGGUUUUAUCAAGUUGAUUAUUCAGUUUUUACCAGCGUUUAAAAUACCUAAGGUAGAUGAUGAGGUGGGAUAAGGGGGGGAAAAAAAAUCAUACAAAUAAAUUGUUUUGUUUUUUUUUGCUUUCUUUAAUUGAUUACCGUCACCAUCCGAAUAUGAACCAAAGUCAAAGUCCAGUCAAGGCUCCACUGUGAAGCUUUUGGCAACAAUUCUGCAAUCAAAGACCCGUCAAACACCAUGUUUUGCCACAAUGAGAACUAACCACAGUUAUCAAUCUCAAAUCUUUGACUUUAAGUUAAAUACAAGUGCUUUCUUCAUCCUUAUAGCCAGUGUAUGUCAAAGAAAUUAGCAAAGAGAUAAUGGAUGAUUAGCUUAAAAUGUGAGAACAGACUCCUGUUGUGGGGGAAGAAAAUAAUUCAUACAGUGAAACAGGAGUGGUAGUUUUUAUAAAACAUACAAAACACAGUAAACUAAAUGUACCUUUACUUGUAAUACAUCCACCCAGAGCUAUAAAUGUAAGAUGGAAAUAUUUGAUGUUGAUUAGCAAAGGACAUUAUGAGCAGCCUUUAAAAAGAAAAAAGAUCUUAAAAUACUGUAUGCCUUACCUUGAUUUGUUACAAAUAUAAUGCUUGAAUGGUUUUUCAAAGUAUGCAGUCUAAUUUAAACAACAAAAAACAGUUCUUACAGCAUUUCAAACUUGUGCACUACAAAAAAACAAAGAAAAACACUCAUCAAAACCUGCGGCACAAAUAUAGAAAAAUGAGCUACAGAUUUUGUAACGCGUUUUGUUUACAGCACCAUAACUUUUUUUUGCCUUAUUUAGUCAAGCCCACUCACAAUCA
ensembl:lncRNA